AUACGUAGGGGGCGAGCGUUGUCCGGAAUGAUUGGGCGUAAAGGGCGCGUAGGCGGCCCGGUAAGUCUGGAGUGAAAGUCCUGUUUUUAAGAUGGGAAUUGCUUUGGAUACUGCCGGGCUUGAGUGCAGGAGGGGUAAGUGGAAUUCCCAGUGUAGCGGUGAAAUGCGUAGAGAUUGGGAGGAACACCAGUGGCGAAUGCGAGUUUCUGGAUUGUAACGGAAGAGGAGGGGAGAAAGUGUGGGGAGCAAAAAGGAUGAUAUACCCUGGUAGUCCACGCUGUAAACGAUGAUUACUAGGUGUAGGGGGUAUCGACUCCCUCUGUGCCGCAGGUAACACAAUAAGUAUUCCGCCUGGGGAGUACGGCCGCAAGGUUGAAACUCAAAGGAAUUGACGGGG
rnacentral:rRNA from 1 species